GGUCCUGUGGUCUAGUGGUAUGAUUCUCGCUUAGGGUAACUAAGCUUUCUUGCGAGAGGCCCCGCGUUCGAGUCGCGGCAGGACCC